GACGUAGGGCGCGAGCGUUGUCCGGAUUUAUUGGGCGUAAAGAGCUCGUAGGCGGUGUGUCACGUCGGCCGUGAAAACCUGCAGCUUAACUGUGGGCGUGCGGUCGAUACGGGGCAUCACUGGAGUUCGGCAGGGGAGACUGGAAUUCCUGGUGUAGCGGUGAAAUGCGCAGAUAUCAGGAGGAACACCGGUGGCGAAGGCGGGUCUCUGGGCCGAAUACUGACGCUGGAGGAGCGAAAGCCGUGGGGAGCGAACAGG
rnacentral:rRNA from 1 species